AUUGAACGCUGGCGGCAGGCCUCACACAUGCAAGUCGAGCGGAGCGGCGGACGGGUGAGUAAUGCCUAGGAAUCUGCCUGGUAGUGGGGGAUCACGUCCGGAAACGGGCGCUAAUACCGCAUACUAUCAGAUGAGCCUAGGUCGGAUUAGCUAGUUGGUGGGGUAAAGGCCUACCAAGGCGCCGAUCCGUAACUGGUCUGAGAGGAUGCUCAGUCACACUGGAACUGAGACACGGUCCAGAAUCCUAAGAGAGGCAGCAGUGGGGAAUAGUGGACUAUGGGCGAAAGCCUGAUCCAGCCAUGCCGCGUGUGUGAAGAAGGUCUUCGGAUUGUAGAGCACUUUAAGUUGGGAGGCGUUACCAACAGAAUAAGCACCGGCUAACUUCGUGCCAGCCGCCGCGGUAAUUC
rnacentral:rRNA from 1 species